GAUGAACGCUGGCGGCGUGCCUAAUACAUGCAAGUCGAGCGAAUGACGAGGAGCUUGCUCCUCUGAUUUAGCGGCGGACGGGUGAGUAACACGUGGGUAACCUGCCUGUAAGACGGGGAUAACUCCGGGAAACCGGAGCUAAUACCGGAUGAUAACGAGAAGCGCCUGCUUCUUUUUUGAAAGUCGGUUUCGGCUGACGCUUACAGAUGGGCUCGCGGCGCAUUAGCUAGUUGGUGAGGUAACGGCUCACCAAGGCGACGAUGCGUAGCCGACCUGAGAGGGUGAUCGGCCACACUGGGACUGAGACACGGCCCAGACACCUACGGGAGGCAGCAGUAGGGAAUCUUCGGCAAUGGACGAAAGUCUGACCGAGCAACGCCGCGUGAGCGAUGAAGGCCUUCGGGUCGUAAAGCUCUGUUGUCAGAGAAGAACAAGUACCGGAGUAACUGCCGGUACCUUGACGGUACUUGACCAGAAAGCCACGGCUAACUACGUGCCAGCCGCCGCGGUAA
rnacentral:rRNA from 1 species